rnacentral:rRNA from 1 species
CCCUUAGAUGUUCUGGGUCGCACGCGCGCUACACUGACGGAUUCAACGAGCUUACAACCUUGGCCGAAAGGUCUGGGUAAUCUCCAAAAUCCGUCGUGAUGGGGAUAGAUUAUUGCAAUUAUUAAUCUUCAACGAGGAAUGCCUAGUAAGCGCAAGUCAUCAGCUUGCGUUGAUUACGUCCCUGCCCUUUGUACACACCGCCCGUCGCUCCUACCGAUUGAAUGGUCCGGUGAAGCGUUUGGACUAUGGUUUUCUGAUGGUCCGCCGUUGGAUUACCGUGGGAAGUUCGUUAAACCUUAUCAUUUAGAGGAAGGAGAAGUCGUAACA